rnacentral:lncRNA from 1 species
UUCAAAAUAGCACUUGUGGCCCCCUAUGUUUACCCCAUUUUGCAAAAGGUCAAUUUUGACCAAGUCAAUGCUGAUGUGAUAAGUCACUUAAGUGACUCAGCUGCCACAUCAUCUUUAUUUUUUUUUAAAAAAAAAAGAAAGCAAAGGAACUAUAGUAUAGUAGAACGAUCGUAAAAACUGUGCACAUAAACUUGAUCUUUUAAGACCUGUGACAUUGAAAAUGGUCCUUCGCUAUUAAACAAAAUCAUUUUGAUGUCACUGUAAAUUUUGAAGGGAAAAAAAAGAAGGUUGAAGCUGUAAAUUUUUGCAAUUAAAUAAAAGUUAAUCAGAGACUUUGCUCAUAAUUUCUUAGGGUGUGUGUGGUUGUGAUAAGAAAAUGAGAAGCGAGAAAUAGGUGAGAGAGAG